rnacentral:rRNA from 1 species
GACGAACGCUGGCGGCGUGCUUAACACAUGCAAGUCGAACGGUAAGGCCCUUCGGGGUACACGAGUGACGAACGGGUGAGUAACACGUGGGUGAUCUGCCCUGCACUUCGGGAUAAGCCUGGGAAACUGGGUCUAAUACCGGAUAGGACCCUGGGAUGCAUGUCCUGGGGUGGAAAGCUUUUGCGGUGUGGGAUGGGCCCGCGGCCUAUCAGCUUGUUGGUGGGGCGAUGGCCUACCAAGGCGACGACGGGUAGCCGGCCUGAGAGGGUGACCGGCCACACUGGGACUGAGAUACGGCCCAGACUCCUACGGGAGGCAGCAGUGGGGAAUAUUGCACAAUGGGCGCAAGCCUGAUGCAGCGACGCCGCGUGAGGGAUGACGGCCUUCGGGUUGUAAACCUCUUUCAGCACCGACGAAGCGCAAGUGACGGUAGGUGCAGAAGAAGGACCGGCCAACUACGUGCCAGCAGCCGCGGUAA